rnacentral:rRNA from 1 species
UCUACGGGUGGCUGCAGUGAGGAAUAUUGGUCAAUGGACGCAAGUCUGAACCAGCCAUGCCGCGUGCAGGAAGACGGCCCUAUGAGUUGUAAACUGCUUUUGUACGAGGGUAAACGCAGAUACGUGUAUCUGUCUGAAAGUAUCUUACGAAUAAGGAUCGGCUAACUCCGUGCCAGCAGCCGCGGUAAUACGGAGGAUUCAAGCGUUAACCGGAUUUAUUGGGUUUAAAGGGGGGGUAGGUGGUCGGUUAAGUUAGGGGUGAAAUCACGAGGCUCAACUUCGGAAUUGCCUUUGAUACUGUUCGGCUAGAGAGUAGUUGAGGUAGGCGGAAUGUAUGGUGUAGCGGUGAAAUGCUUAGAGAUCAUACAGAACACCGAUUGCGAAGGCAGCUUACCAAGCUACUUCUGACGUUGAGGCACGAAAGCGUGGGGAGCAAACAGGAUUAGAUACCCUGGUAGUC